rnacentral:rRNA from 1 species
UACGUAGGGGGCAAGCGUUGUCCGGAUUUAUUGGGCGUAAAGAGCGUGUAGGCGGCCAGGUAGGUCGGCUGUGAAAACUCGAGGCUCAACCUCGAGCUGUCGGCCGAAACCAUCUGGCUAGAGUCCGGAAGAGGAGAAUGGAAUUCCCGGUGUAGCGGUGAAAUGCGCAGAUAUCGGGAAGAACACCCGUGGCGAAGGCAGUUCUCUGGGCCGUAACUGACGCUGAGGAGCGAAAGCGUGGGGAGCGAACAGG